ensembl:lncRNA
UUUCCCCCAGACCUGUUGCUGUCUGCAAUUCCAUCGCGGUCUAAAGUACCAAGAAGAUUAGGCAAAGAGUCUGGUGACAUAGUUCUGCACGUCUUUCUCAAUACCAAGUAUGCAAAUUUCCCAAUAGCAUCUGUCUGCGGACUGCAAGAGAGGGGCGUAACUGGAAGGGGCGUAACUUGAUGAAGGGGGUGUAACUUGAAGUUGUCCAAAUCACACAGAACCACGCAAGAUGUUGUUGGAACAGAUGAGACACACAUGUGUUUAUCCGGUGCAGAGUGACUGAUGAAGGAAUGCUGCCAUCAAAGGCUUUCAUGCAUUUGCUGCAGAUCUUUUGUGUUGGAGCAGGACUUGCAAGGCAAAGUGACGGCGGCAUUUGUGGAAAAAAGAGAAACCUGAAACUAAAGGAUGAAACUGCUGUGUGAGGAUGGAGGAGUCCACAGCAGCAUCCUGGAAAUGGUCCAGUGCCAUGGAUGAGAUGCUCCAUCACUCCACCUCUUAAUGCCACACCUGGACCGGAUGUUGCUGUGGUCUUUUCAUCCUCAGUGCCAGCGAGAACAUCUAGAGAAAGACCAAAAGACACUGAGGAUGUGAUUUUGGUCAAGUUUGUUCUGCUGGUUUCUGUUCAUACAAUGAAGACUGACUUUCAGAAGCUUCAAAAGCAUCAUCAAAAAAUGUCAUGAAGCUUUUAUCCAAAGUGAUUUACAGUGCUCUUAUUACAGGGACCUAUAAUCCCCUAGAUCAACCUGGAGAAAAGGGCCUUGCUCAAGGACAUACUGGUGGUUUUGAACCAGCAAC